rnacentral:rRNA from 1 species
GACGAACGCUGGCGGCGUGCUUAACACAUGCAAGUCGAACGGAAAGGCCCUGCUUUUGUGGGGUGCUCGAGUGGCGAACGGGUGAGUAACACGUGAGUAACCUGCCCUUGACUUUGGGAUAACUUCAGGAAACUGGGGCUAAUACCGGAUAGGUGCUCCUGCUGCAUGGUGGGGGUUGGAAAGUUUCGGCGGUUGGGGAUGGACUCGCGGCUUAUCAGCUUGUUGGUGGGGUAGUGGCUUACCAAGGCUUUGACGGGUAGCCGGCCUGAGAGGGUGACCGGCCACAUUGGGACUGAGAUACGGCCCAGACUCCUACGGGAGGCAGCAGUGGGGAAUAUUGCACAAUGGGCGGAAGCCUGAUGCAGCAACGCCGCGUGCGGGAUGACGGCCUUCGGGUUGUAAACCGCUUUCGCCUGUGACGAAGCGUGAGUGGCGGUAAUGGGUAAAGAAGCACCGGCUAACUACGUG